UCCCGCGUAGCUCAAUUGGCAGAGCGCACGGCUUUUAACCGUGAGGUUAGGAGUUCGACCCUCCUCGUGGGAG